rnacentral:lncRNA from 1 species
UCCCGGGUCUUCCUGUCCCUGGGCGGCUAGCGGAGAUUGGUGAGCAGUAAGUAAACUCUGUGCUUUUGCCACUCGCGGAAAGCCAGGAUUUUAGCCCGGAGGCCAACGAGCCCUAAGCUCGGGCCACCGCAUGUGCUGGACGCCAAGGCGGUGACGCACUCUGUCGGCGACGCGGGGGAGCCCACAGCCUGCACUACCCCAAAACCGGGCAAAGGGCACGGCGGUGGCUACGUCACACGUGUGCGACAGCACCUGCUCCGGACGUCAGGCUCUCUAAGGACGACGUGGUUCUUCCUUGUGAGGUUGAGGCGCCCGAGAGGCGAUCAGAGCUCAGAGCCGAUUCAUUCCUGCUUGACUUUGGGUCGGUGCCUCGUGAGCGAGCUCAUUUCCCGGGGUUGCGGGUCCUUGCCUGGGGACACGCGAGUUGGAGAGCGCGUGCACCGGUCGUUCCCUUCCCGUGCUGCCCGCGUCCGGAUCGUCGGGACCCGGUUGUCUCUAGUAUGUGGAAAGGCUCGGGCUGGGAACUUCGAGGGAGGAGUUACCCCCUCGAGAUCCGGAGGACCAGAGCGGAGAGCAGGGCCACUGAGACCCUACAGGAUAUGACUCCGAGGAUCGCGUGCUGGACACGAGUGGCUACCGAGCCCGGAGAGCUUCGCGCUGCCUCCUCCUGGUCCCUUUCCAGAGGACUCUUUUCAGUCGGGGAUGCUUAUUAAAGCUCUGGCGGGAAAGAGAGAAUCACAAUUAAAGAAAUUAGUCCUACUCUGCAACGUCGGACACUUUAAUAGUAACUGGGGAGCGAUUGCGUUCAGGGAGAUCGAGGACAAGUAUCCUGGCCAGAUCCUGACAUGUUUUCCCGGUAAGAGUUCUCUGCGGAGGCCACCUUUGGAGGACUCUGUAUAUUGAUGGAAGAGGGAACGCCGGAACCUAUCCCAAAAGUAUUGUCAUGGGAAUUAGGUGUGUGUGGGUUCCAGGAAGGGCGAGGACGGACGGCGCACUACCACAGUCCGAUGAAUGUUCUCAUCACCGACCUUUGGAGUUUUUCAGCAUGUUGGAUUUUUAAACAUGUUCAGGUUGGAAAAUUGAGAGUGUAAUGUUAACAGUAAAGUUUAACCUUUUAAGCUGGUGGAGGAAGUUCAGACCACACCUGAACUGGUACCUGAGAUGACAGCACUGAAUCUGAAGACAAAGAAGGAUCAAAUUAGAACUGACUAUUAUUAGUCACUACUUCAGAAAGUCUUUUUACCUUAUUUUGGUAUGUUUAGUUAUUACUAUGAUUUGUAUGACUUUUACAUGUGUUUGAAAAGUAACAGAAGCUAAAGGCCAUUGUACAACUGGGUAACAGUCCCGUUUUCGUUCUCUUGCAUUUGGUUUGCCAUUCUGUAGCUGUGACUCCAGCUUGCUUUAGUUGAGCCUUGUCAUUCUUCACUCUCUGCAAACCAUUCCACGGAUUUGUUUUUCUUCACAAAAUUAGUUUCAUUUUCUUUGUUUGAUUGAUGGUCAUUG